rnacentral:lncRNA from 1 species
AUGUUUGUUCUACAAGCAUAUGUAUGUGCAUGUCCAUAUAUACAUGUAAGAAUUAAUACAAUAAUUGAACAACAUGGAUGUCUAAGACUCUAUGUCUAUAUUUGUGUGAGCCUUAAAUCAGCACAACCACAAUCAUGGUCGUUCAGUGGAACAAGUAACCGUGCAUUUCUCUCUUUAAAGAAGAACUUUGCAAUUCGUCAGAGCCCAACACUGAGAAAGUGUUUCAGUGGAAUUGUGGGACGAAGGGCACAGAAAGAUAACAACAACCAACUUAGGUUAGUCUUAAUUUGUUAUAACAAAACUUCUCGGAUUUUGAUCAUUAAUGGUCUAAACUCCUAAACUCCUUUCCCAUACAUUGACUCACUAAUUUUGAACCGAAUAAAAACAAUGAAUCUCUUGAAUCAUGAAGGACUAUUACCCAUAUUUUCAAAAGCAAUUCUAGCAUACCAGCAAGAGCUUGUUUAGACUUUUUUUUAAAA